CCCAGCUGCAGGCAACUGCCUAGGUUGCCUUGUACUUAGGCAAGUGUUACACUGCUGGGAGAAAGGCAGCCAGUAGCUGGCAGGCAUCCUGGACCUGGUGAAUGCAAACU
ensembl:snoRNA SNORA74 Small nucleolar RNA SNORA74